UUACAGAAGAGCCGACGACAAUACAGCGCGUGCCAGCACACAGAAAAUGAAGGUUUGCGCUCUUCGGAUAGGCCGUUGCUAUGGCGCUUUGCUCUUGCUAUUUUAUCUGCUUCUGAUUUCGUGCCUCGCUCGCUGCGAGAGGAAGCUAGUGGAGGUUCACCGGAUCAUCGCAGUGGGCGAUGUUCACGGCGAUGCUGAUAAUUUUCUGAAAAUUCUACGUAUAGCAAAUCUGAUUGAGGACGGCGUAACAGGGGCAUCAGGGGUGCUCGAUAAUCCACCGCGCUGGAAAUACUCUUCGAGUCGACCAAACGGGACAGCUGUGAGAACGACCCUUGUCCAAGUUGGUGAUUUAAUAGAUCGUGGCGAGCAGGACUUGCAGGCUCUGAACAUUGCCAUCUCUCUUCAGGAGCAGACAGCGCAGUCCGGCACGCAAGACGAGGUUGUGCUACUCAUCGGGAAUCACGAGCUUUUGAAUAUUCAAGGACAUUAUCAUUACGUCAACAAGAACAACUAUGGUGGCUUUCUGAGCAAAGCGCUUCGAGCAGAAGGGAUGAAAGCAACAGGCGCGUUUGGCAAGUACAUUGUCGAUAAUUUUAAGGCUGCACACAUGGAUGAAGGGGUCUUGUUUGUUCACGCCGGUAUUGAAACGAGUAUGAACAUUAAGGACGUUGAGGCGCUCAACGCAGACAUCCGCGAGGCUUUGCGCCAAGGCAUUUUCCGACAUUCAUUCCUAGGGAGCAGUGGCCCUCUAUGGACGAGGAAAAUGAUUAUAGAAAGCAUGAGUGAAGGGUGCUCGGAUGUGAGGGCGGCACUAAAGCAGCUUAACGCAACCCGCGUUGUCGUUGGUCACACACCACAGGAAUCGGGUCACAUUGGGCAGCAUUGUGACGGGCAGGUCUUUGCCAUCGAUGUGGGCAUGAGUCGAUGGAUGUACGACAAGGUUGCAGCACUAGAGCUUGUGUUUUCAAAGUACAAGGACAACAUUACUGGAACUGGAUCCGCUAGCUUCGUGGUCAGAGAGCUACGUGAGGGUGUUUCGGGGUUUUGCCACACAUGCGUUGAGGAAAGGAGCGAUCUCGAUACAACAGGGGGUGGCGACUCUGAUGAGAAGAACGAUAUUUUCGAUGACUUGUAAUCACACUCGGCCCCCCAAUACUUAUCUUUUCAAAACCCAAGAAUAUUUUUUUUAUGGAGUUCUUUGGUGCUCUGGCUUGUCGGAUUAGUCCUCCUUGCUGUAUCCGAGUCUUCGCCACUGCUAUGUCAAGUGUAAAU
rnacentral:misc_RNA from 1 species